rnacentral:ncRNA from 1 species
UAAAAGUUUUAUUUUUGCUUAUUUAUUUAUUUAAUUUUUUUUUUAUAUGUAAAUUUUUGUACGUUUAUUAUUAAAAAUUUUCUUAAAGAAAUGUUUUAAUGCUUUAUUUUUCGCAGUAUUUAAUUUUAUUAAUUAAAGUAAUUUAGAAUUAGAAAUAUAUUUUAUUAUUGGUUAAAUUCGUGCCAGCUACCGCGGUUAAACGAAAGAUAAAAAUAAAUAAUUUUAGUUUUGUAGUUAAAAUUAAAUUGUAAAAAAAAGAAAUUAAUAUUAUAUUUAUUAAGUGAAAUUUAUAAAUUUAUUUAUUUUUUUAUUGUGAGGCUAAUAAAUUUUAUUAAAAAACUAGGAUUAGAUACCCUAUUAUUUAAAAUGUAAAUUAUAAAAAACUUAAGUAGUAAUAGUUAUGUUCUUGAAAUUUAAAAAAUUUGGCGGUAUUUUAGUCUAUUCAGAGGAACUUGUCCCAUAAUCGAUAGUACCCGAUAAUCUUACUUGAAUUUGUGUUAUUAGCUUAUUAGUUAAUAUUUAGUUUGUAUACCGCCGUUAUCAGAAUAUUUUAUAAGAAUAUUAAAUAUUCUAAAUUUUAUAUUAAAAAUGAUAUCAGGUCAAGGUGCAGCUAAUAUUUAAGUGGAGAUGAGUUACAAUAAAAUUUAUUUAUAUGAAUUUUAAAUUUAAAAAUUUAAAUGAAAAUGGAUUUGACAGUAAAAUAAUUAAUUAAAUUUAUUUGAUUUAUAGCUCUAAAAUAUGUACACAUCGCCCGUCGCUCUCAUUAGUUAAAAUGAGAUAAGUCGUAACAUAGUAGGUGUACUGGAAAGUGUACCUAGAUAGU